GAUUAGAGACUAAACGUUCAUGCCUUAAAUGUAACUGAGCAAACUGCCAGCAGGGAGCAAUUUCUAAUUGUUCAGUUGUUACUUGUUUUUCUCUGGAGGGACUUUGUGCCUGCUGGGUGUUAAUGAGUUUAGCACUGCAGUAGAGGAAACAGCCUGCAUGUUGGCAGCCACAAAAUGGACUAAUAGUUUGAAUGGGAAUACAUUUUUAGAGCAUCAUAAAAGGUGAUAUGGCACCCACCCUCACAGUGCUGCCCCCGUCCACCAUGGAGCAGGACAAGGAGAAGGCCACUCUGGUCUGUGUGGGCAGUGGGGGCUUCCCAUCAGACUGGAAGCUGAGCUGGAAGAUGGGCGGUUGCUCGUUGGAGUCGGGGGUCAGUCACAGCCCUGCGCUUCUGCAGAAGAGCGACGGCCUCUACAGCUGGAGCAGCACCCUGACCGUCAGCCGGCAGCAGUGGCUGAAGAACACAUUGACCUGCGAGGCCACCAAGGACUCCCAGCCUACCGUCCGCAAGACAGUGACCGCAGACCAAUGCCCUGACCUGUGACCUCACCAAUGCACCUCUGAUGUUCAUUAGUGGAAGCACAUUUUCUUUUGCAUGACUGUCUUGUCUGCAUUUUAGAGGACAUAAUAAAAGCCUUUUAUUGCUGAAAUGUCUUUGAAUGCCUUUUAAUCAAUAAAUAAAACAUCUGUCUCAUUUUC